rnacentral:rRNA from 1 species
CAAUAGCGUAUAUUAAAGUUGUUGCAGUUAAAAGCUCGUAGUUGGAUUUCUGGUGGGAGCACGGGUCGGCCUUCACGGGUUGUACUGUUGUUGCGUCCUGCCGUUUCGGAGGGAAUGGUCAUGUUAUUAGGUUAGCGUGAUCGGAAACUCUGUCGUUUACUGUGAAAAAUUAGAGUGUUCAAAGCAGGCCUUCGCUGUGAAUACAUUAGCAUGGAAUAAUAAGAUAGGACUGUAGUGCUAUUUUGUUGGUUUGCGUACUAUGGUAAUGAUUAAUAGGGAUAGUUGGGGGCGAUUCGUAUUUAACUUGUCAGAGGUGAAAUUACUUGGAUUUGUUUAAAGAACGGACUACUGCGAAAGACAUUUGUCCAAGGAUGUUUUCUAUUGAUCAAGAACGAAAGUUAAGGGGAGUCGAAGACGAUCAGAUACCAU